rnacentral:misc_RNA from 1 species
UGUAGGAGUGAGCCUGCUCGCGAUAGCGGUGUGUCAGUUGCCGGUGAUAUCGGCUGAUCCACCGCUAUCGCGAGCAGGCUCACUCCUGCA